GGUCCUGCCUGCCCAGUGACUAAAAGUUUUUAACGGCCGCGGUAUUCUGACCGUGCAAAGGUAGCGUAAUCACUUGUCCUUUAAAUGAAGACCUGUAUGAAUGGCGUCACGAAAGCUUAACUGUCUCCCUCCCCCAGUCAAUGAAAUUGAUCUCCCCGUGCAGAAGCGGGGAUGAAACCAUAAGACGAGAAGACCCUGUGGAGCUUUAGACACCAAGAUCAGCCUUCAUAAAUACCUAAUCAUAACUUAAAUGUAUAAACUAUGUAGCUUCCUGAACGGAUGUCUUCGGUUGGGGCGACCAUGGGGUAAUAAAAAACCUCCAAGCGGACAGAAGCACUACCCAAAAGAACAUAGCUUCCGUAAAUAGGGCUGACAAGCCUAAUUCACAGAACCUCUGACCUAAACAGAUCCGAUGUGAAUCGAUCAACGAAUCAAGUUACCCCAGGGAUAACAGCGCAAUCCUCUUCAAGAGCCCAUAUCGACAAGAGGGUUUACGACCUCGAUGUUGGAUCAGGACAUCCUAAUGGUGCAGCUGCUAUUAAGGUUCGUUGUCAACGA
rnacentral:rRNA from 1 species